rnacentral:sRNA from 1 species
AUUCUGGAGCAGCAGCAGUUGACAGACGGAGAGGCAGUGACUCUGCACCCAGCAAUCCCUCUGCAGACAGCUCCCACAGGAGUCAUGCCCAGUGUGUGAAGGCUCUGGGCAUCAUCAGCGGCCCCAGGGAAAAAGAAAGAAAUGGGAAACAGCAUGAAAUCCACCCCUGCGCCUGCCGAGAGGCCCCUGCCCAACCCGGAGGGACUGGAUAGCGACUUCCUUGCCGUGCUAAGUGACUACCCGUCUCCUGACAUUAGCCCCCCGAUAUUCCGCCGAGGGGAGAAACUGCGUGUGAUUUCUGAUGAAGGGGGCUGGUGGAAAGCUAUUUCUCUUAGCACUGGUCGUGAGAGUUACAUCCCUGGAAUAUGUGUGGCCAGAGUUUACCAUGGUCGUGCCAGUGAGGCCUCUGCAGCCUCCUGGGUGGCUUUGGAGCACUGCACACCUGGGCACAAAUCUUGGCUUCCUUCCUUCCAUGUGAGGGUCCUGUAAAAGUCGCUUCACCUCCUGGAGUUACAUUAUCCUCAUCUGUCAAGUUACGGAAGCUGGAAGUUGGCAAAGAAAUGCACAGCAUAUUGGAAAUGGAAAAGAAAGAAGGAGGCAUCCAUUGAUAAACACUAAGUUACUUCUUCAUGUCCAGAGGACUCUACAUGCCACAUGCUCAUCUUGCAAAACAGAGAUAACCACCCGAAUCCUUUGAAGACUGGAAUUCUGCGAGUUUAAUUUUAGUAUUCAUGAUCUUAAUUGUGAAUACCAGAUGCCAUUUCCAUGCUUAGGAUGAUGAAGGUAAACAAAACUGAAGCAGGAGCUGCCAUGGGAGUCACGUUCUGAAAGAGGUGGGAGUCACGUUCUGAAAGAGAUGGGAGUCACGUGACUCUUCUACAUCAGCUGCUUGCCCUGGAGCCAUUCAUUCAUUAGCAAGCAUGCAUCAAUGCCUUCAUGCUGAAGAUGUGAGGCUGCAGCUGGCAUGAGCUGGGGGUAGUAAGGAACCAGGAGGAGUGACAUAAUUAUGACCCUAUG